rnacentral:rRNA from 1 species
CAGCAGCCACGGGAAUACGGAGGGUGCAAGCGUUAAUCGGAAUUACUGGGCGUAAAGCGCACGCAGGCGGUUUGUUAAGUCAGAUGUGAAAUCCCCGAGCUUAACUUGGGAACUGCAUUUGAAACUGGCAAGCUAGAGUCUUGUAGAGGGGGGUAGAAUUCCAGGUGUAGCGGUGAGAUGCGUAGAGAUCUGGAGGAAUACCGGUGGCGAAGGCGGCCCCCUGGACAAAGACUGACGCUCAGGUGCGAAAGCGUGGGGAGCAAACAGGAUUAGAUACCCCUGUAGUCCCUGUCUCUUAUAC